UACGUAGGGUGCAAGCGUUAAUCGGAAUUACUGGGCGUAAAGCGUGCGCAGGCGGUGAUGUAAGACAGGUGUGAAAUCCCCGGGCUUAACCUGGGAACUGCACUUGUGACUGCACAGCUGGAGUACGGCAGAGGGGGAUGGAAUUCCGCGUGUAGCAGUGAAAUGCGUAGAUAUGCGGAGGAACACCGAUGGCGAAGGCAGUCCCCUGGGCCUGUACUGACGCUCAUGCACGAAAGCGUGGGGAGCAAACAGG
rnacentral:rRNA from 1 species